UACGGGGGGGCGAGGCGUUGUCCGAAGUUACUGGGCGUAAAGCGCGUGUAGGCGGGUUGUUAAGUCCGCUGUGAAAGCCCGGUGCUCAACGCCGGAGGGUCGGUGGAUAACUGGCAGUCUUGAAGUGGACUAGGGGGAAAUGGAAUUACCGGUGUAGCGGUGAAAUGCGUAGAUAUCGGUAGGAACACCAGUGGCGAAGGCGGUUUCCUGGAGCUAACGUUGACGCUGAGACG
rnacentral:rRNA from 1 species